rnacentral:rRNA from 1 species
UUAACACAUGCAAGUCGAGGGGCAGCAUGGUCUUAGCUUGCUAAGGCCGAUGGCGACCGGCGCACGGGUGAGUAACACGUAUCCAACCUGCCGUCUACUCUUGGACAGCCUUCUGAAAGGAAGAUUAAUACAAGAUGGCAUCAUGAGUCCGCAUGUUCACAUGAUUAAAGGUAUUCCGGUAGACGAUGGGGAUGCGUUCCAUUAGAUAGUAGGCGGGGUAACGGCCCACCUAGUCUUCGAUGGAUAGGGGUUCUGAGAGGAAGGUCCCCCACAUUGGAACUGAGACACGGUCCAAACUCCUACGGGAGGCAGCAGUGAGGAAUAUUGGUCAAUGGGCGAGAGCCUGAACCAGCCAAGUAGCGUGAAGGAUGACUGCCCUAUGGGUUGUAAACUUCUUUUAUAAAGGAAUAAAGUCGGGUAUGGAUACCCGUUUGCAUGUACUUUAUGAAUAAGGAUCGGCUAACUCCGUGCCAGCAGCCGCGGUAAUACGGAGGAUCCGAGCGUUAUCCGGAUUUAUUGGGUUUAAAGGGAGCGUAGAUGGAUGUUUAAGUCAGUUGUGAAAGUUUGCGGCUCAACCGUAAAAUUGCAGUUGAUACUGGAUAUCUUGAGUGCAGUUGAGGCAGGCGGAAUUCGUGGUGUAGCGGUGAAAUGCUUAGAUAUCACGAGGAACUCCGAUUGCGAAGGCAGCCUGCUAAGCUGCAACUGACAUUGAGGCUCGAAAGUGUGGGUAUCAAACAGGAUUAGAUACCCUGGUAGUCCACACGGUAAACGAUGAAUACUCGCUGUUUGCGAUAUACUGCAAGCGGCCAAGCGGAAGCGUUAAGUAUUCCACCUGGGGAGUACGCCGGCAACGGUGAAACUCAAAGGAAUUGACGGGGGCCCGCACAAGCGGAGGAACAUGUGGUUUAAUUCGAUGAUACGCGAGGAACCUUACCCGGGCUUAAAUUGCAGAUGAAUUACGGUGAAAGCCGUAAGCCGCAAGGCAUCUGUGAAGGUGCUGCAUGGUUGUCGUCAGCUCGUGCCGUGAGGUGUCGGCUUAAGUGCCAUAACGAGCGCAACCCUUGUUGUCAGUUACUAACAGGUUCCGCUGAGGACUCUGACAAGACUGCCAUCGUAAGAUGUGAGGAAGGUGGGGAUGACGUCAAAUCAGCACGGCCCUUACGUCCGGGGCUACACACGUGUUACAAUGGGGGGUACAGAGGGCCGCUACCACGCGAGUGGAUGCCAAUCCCCAAAACCUCUCUCAGUUCGGACUGGAGUCUGCAACCCGACUCCACGAAGCUGGAUUCGCUAGUAAUCGCGCAUCAGCCACGGCGCGGUGAAUACGUUCCCGGGCCUUGUACACACCGCCCGUCAAGCCAUGGGAGCCGGGGGUACCUGAAGUGCGUAACCGCGAGGAGCGCCCUAGGGUAAAACUGGUGACUGGGGCUAAGUCAUAACA